rnacentral:rRNA from 1 species
GACGAACGCUGGCGGCGUGCCUAAUACAUGCAAGUCGAGCGAGCGGAACUAACAGAUUUACUUCGGUAAUGACGUUAGGAAAGCGAGCGGCGGAUGGGUGAGUAACACGUGGGGAACCUGCCCCAUAGUCUGGGAUACCACUUGGAAACAGGUGCUAAUACCGGAUAAGAAAGCAGAUCGCAUGAUCAGCUUUUAAAAGGCGGCGUAAGCUGUCGCUAUGGGAUGGCCCCGCGGUGCAUUAGCUAGUUGGUAAGGUAAAGGCUUACCAAGGCGAUGAUGCAUAGCCGAGUCGAGAGACUGAUCGGCCACAUCGGGACUGAGACACGGCCCAAACUCCUACGGGAGGCAGCAGUAGGGAAUCUUCCACAAUGGACGCAAGUCUGAUGGAGCAACGCCGCGUGAGUGAAGAAGGUUUUCGGAUCGUAAAGCUCUGUUGUUGGUGAAGAAGGAUAGAGGUAGUAACUGGCCUUUAUUUGACGGUAAUCAACCAGAAAGUCACGGCUAACUACGUG